CUUCAAGAAUUAAUUCAAGAUAUGUUUAAGGUCUGGCAAGAUUCUCAGCAAGGAACUCUUACUGGUGGCAUGAUAAAGGAGCUACUUAUUUCCUUCAAAAAGGCUACUAGAUAAAAGCCUCAACGGAUUAUAUUCUACAGCCAUGCAAACAUUCAAAUAACUCAUCUCACAACUAAUACCUUUUGUAUGAUGUACUUAUUCAGGUUGUUGAUCUCCUAGUGCCUUAUCAAAGGGGUAGAAAGAUUGGACUUUUUGAUGGAGCUGGUACGGGGAAGACUAGAUUUAUUAUGGAACUAAUGAUCAACAAUAUUGGA